GGUUAAGCGACUAAGCGUACACGGUGGAUGCCCUGGCAGUCAGAGGCGAUGAAGGACGUGCUAAUCUGCGAUAAGCGUCGGUAAGGUGAUAUGAACCGUUAUAACCGGCGAUUUCCGAAUGGGGAAACCCAGUGUGUUUCGACACACUAUCAUUAACUGAAUCCAUAGGUUAAUGAGGCGAACCGGGGGAACUGAAACAUCUAAGUACCCCGAGGAAAAGAAAUCAACCGAGAUUCCCCCAGUAGCGGCGAGCGAACGGGGAGCAGCCCAGAGCCUGAAUCAGUGUGUGUGUUAGUGGAAGCGUCUGGAAAGGCGCGCGAUACAGGGUGACAGCCCCGUACACAAAAAUGCACAUGCUGUGAGCUCGAUGAGUAGGGCGGGACACGUGGUAUCCUGUCUGAAUAUGGGGGGACCAUCCUCCAAGGCUAAAUACUCCUGACUGACCGAUAGUGAACCAGUACCGUGAGGGAAAGGCGAAAAGAACCCCGGCGAGGGGAGUGAAAAAGAACCUGAAACCGUGUACGUACAAGCAGUGGGAGCACGCUUAGGCGUGUGACUGCGUACCUUUUGUAUAAUGGGUCAGCGACUUAUAUUCUGUAGCAAGGUUAACCGAAUAGGGGAGCCGAAGGGAAACCGAGUCUUAACUGGGCGUUAAGUUGCAGGGUAUAGACCCGAAACCCGGUGAUCUAGCCAUGGGCAGGUUGAAGGUUGGGUAACACUAACUGGAGGACCGAACCGACUAAUGUUGAAAAAUUAGCGGAUGACUUGUGGCUGGGGGUGAAAGGCCAAUCAAACCGGGAGAUAGCUGGUUCUCCCCGAAAGCUAUUUAGGUAGCGCCUCGUGAAUUCAUCUCCGGGGGUAGAGCACUGUUUCGGCAAGGGGGUCAUCCCGACUUACCAACCCGAUGCAAACUGCGAAUACCGGAGAAUGUUAUCACGGGAGACACACGGCGGGUGCUAACGUCCGUCGUGAAGAGGGAAACAACCCAGACCGCCAGCUAAGGUCCCAAAGUCAUGGUUAAGUGGGAAACGAUGUGGGAAGGCCCAGACAGCCAGGAUGUUGGCUUAGAAGCAGCCAUCAUUUAAAGAAAGCGUAAUAGCUCACUGGUCGAGUCGGCCUGCGCGGAAGAUGUAACGGGGCUAAACCAUGCACCGAAGCUGCGGCAGCGACGCUUAUGCGUUGUUGGGUAGGGGAGCGUUCUGUAAGCCUGUGAAGGUGUACUGUGAGGUAUGCUGGAGGUAUCAGAAGUGCGAAUGCUGACAUAAGUAACGAUAAAGCGGGUGAAAAGCCCGCUCGCCGGAAGACCAAGGGUUCCUGUCCAACGUUAAUCGGGGCAGGGUGAGUCGACCCCUAAGGCGAGGCCGAAAGGCGUAGUCGAUGGGAAACAGGUUAAUAUUCCUGUACUUGGUGUUACUGCGAAGGGGGGACGGAGAAGGCUAUGUUGGCCGGGCGACGGUUGUCCCGGUUUAAGCGUGUAGGCUGGUUUUCCAGGCAAAUCCGGAAAAUCAAGGCUGAGGCGUGAUGACGAGGCACUACGGUGCUGAAGCAACAAAUGCCCUGCUUCCAGGAAAAGCCUCUAAGCAUCAGGUAACAUCAAAUCGUACCCCAAACCGACACAGGUGGUCAGGUAGAGAAUACCAAGGCGCUUGAGAGAACUCGGGUGAAGGAACUAGGCAAAAUGGUGCCGUAACUUCGGGAGAAGGCACGCUGAUAUGUAGGUGAAGUCCCUCGCGGAUGGAGCUGAAAUCAGUCGAAGAUACCAGCUGGCUGCAACUGUUUAUUAAAAACACAGCACUGUGCAAACACGAAAGUGGACGUAUACGGUGUGACGCCUGCCCGGUGCCGGAAGGUUAAUUGAUGGGGUUAGCGCAAGCGAAGCUCUUGAUCGAAGCCCCGGUAAACGGCGGCCGUAACUAUAACGGUCCUAAGGUAGCGAAAUUCCUUGUCGGGUAAGUUCCGACCUGCACGAAUGGCGUAAUGAUGGCCAGGCUGUCUCCACCCGAGACUCAGUGAAAUUGAACUCGCUGUGAAGAUGCAGUGUACCCGCGGCAAGACGGAAAGACCCCGUGAACCUUUACUAUAGCUUGACACUGAACAUUGAGCCUUGAUGUGUAGGAUAGGUGGGAGGCUUUGAAGUGUGGACGCCAGUCUGCAUGGAGCCGACCUUGAAAUACCACCCUUUAAUGUUUGAUGUUCUAACGUUGACCCGUAAUCCGGGUUGCGGACAGUGUCUGGUGGGUAGUUUGACUGGGGCGGUCUCCUCCUAAAGAGUAACGGAGGAGCACGAAGGUUGGCUAAUCCUGGUCGGACAUCAGGAGGUUAGUGCAAUGGCAUAAGCCAGCUUGACUGCGAGCGUGACGGCGCGAGCAGGUGCGAAAGCAGGUCAUAGUGAUCCGGUGGUUCUGAAUGGAAGGGCCAUCGCUCAACGGAUAAAAGGUACUCCGGGGAUAACAGGCUGAUACCGCCCAAGAGUUCAUAUCGACGGCGGUGUUUGGCACCUCGAUGUCGGCUCAUCACAUCCUGGGGCUGAAGUAGGUCCCAAGGGUAUGGCUGUUCGCCAUUUAAAGUGGUACGCGAGCUGGGUUUAGAACGUCGUGAGACAGUUCGGUCCCUAUCUGCCGUGGGCGCUGGAGAACUGAGGGGGGCUGCUCCUAGUACGAGAGGACCGGAGUGGACGCAUCACUGGUGUUCGGGUUGUCAUGCCAAUGGCACUGCCCGGUAGCUAAAUGCGGAAGAGAUAAGUGCUGAAAGCAUCUAAGCACGAAACUUGCCCCGAGAUGAGUUCUCCCUGACUCCUUGAGAGUCCUGAAGGAACGUUGAAGACGACGACGUUGAUAGGCCGGGUGUGUAAGCGCAGCGAUGCGUUGAGCUAACCGGUACUAAUGAACCGUGAGGCUUAACCUU
rnacentral:rRNA from 2 species